CUGAAGAGCUUGAAAAUAUUGUGCAGACUGGAGUUUGCACCGAGAGAGAUGAGGAAAACUGAGGCCUGGAGAGGUUACACAGGUCAGGCUGCCCGUAAACAGCAGAGCUGGGAUUCAACGCAUGUCUGUCUGAUCUGAAGACCUUCAUCCCGUGUGCCUGCCCACCGUCCCACCCUGCCUUUCUCUCCACGGAGCUUGUGCUGCUCCCUGUCACGAUGCCACGCCUCCCCCCACAGCCCCUUUAAAUCUCACAACCCACGGCUCUGCCAUGCAGCUUCCCUGGUGGUUCCAGCCCACACUGCUCACCCCAUCUCUCAAUUUUUCUGGCAGGAAUCCCAGUCUGUACAAUUCAGUACUUAAUUAUAAACUGCCUGUCUGGUGACUUCA